GGUGAACGCUGGCGGCGUGCCUAAUACAUGCAAGUCGAGCGAACGGACGAGAAGCUUGCUUCUCUGAUGUUAGCGGCGGACGGGUGAGUAACACGUGGAUAACCUACCUAUAAGACUGGGAUAACUUCGGGAAACCGGAGCUAAUACCGGAUAAUAUUUUGAACCGCAUGGUUCAAAAGUGAAAGACGGUCUUGCUGUCACUUAUAGAUGGAUCCGCGCUGCAUUAGCUAGUUGGUAAGGUAACGGCUUACCAAGGCAACGAUGCAUAGCCGACCUGAGAGGGUGAUCGGCCACACGGGAACGGAGACACGGUCCAGACUCCUACGGGAGGCAGCAGUAGGGAAUCUUCCGCAAUGGGCGAAAGCCUGACGGAGCAACGCCGCGUGAGUGAUGAAGGUCUUCGGAUCGUAAAACUCUGUUAUUAGGGAAGAACAUAUGUGUAAGUAACUGUGCACAUCUUGACGGUACCUAAUCAGAAAGCCACGGCUAACUACGUG
rnacentral:rRNA from 1 species